ensembl:lncRNA
CUCACGUGUUUCCGUCACGCACACCGGAAACCCCCGCCACUGUGGAGCCCUCUCCUGCUCCGGCACCGAGCCUCAUCUGAGAAGCUGGUGCUGUGACUACCUGCGGUAGCCUGGGUUCCACAAAGGACAAGACCUAAUACUAGAGCUGUGGACGGUGGUUUGUUCGAGGGCACGCCCAAGGAGCUGUGAGAGGGAGAGGCGUGGACAUCUGGAAGGAAAAGAAGGCCAGUCAGGGUUGCGUUCCCGGUCUGGUUACCGCUGCGGGGUCCCGAUCCUGCGAGGGCUUCUGUGGAGCCUUGGAGCCUUAGGAGACUCAUCUCAGAACUGUCCACUUGGGACACUCCCAUCCAGCAUCAGAUCUAGAGACACUGACUGAAAAUGAAGUAUUCCAUGCAAAUAGAAAUCAAAGCUGGAGUAGCAAUACUUACAUCAGACAAAAUAGACUUUAAAGUAGACUAUUACAAGAGACAAAGAAGGUCACUACAUAAUGAUCAAUGGAUCAAUCCAAGAAGAUAUAACAACUUCAAAUAUUUACGUAUGCACCCAACAUAGGAGCGCCUCAAUAUAUAAGGCAAAAGUUAAAAGAUAGGAUGUUAUGGUCCUCUGACUCUUACACCCCUUCUCUUUCUAAUGUACAUGCAUUUGCAUCAACUUUUGCCUCUUAACAUUGGAAUAGGUGGCCGCCUGCUGAAUGGAAUUUAAUGAGAAGUUUAAACAGUUAGUUGCUCAGUCGUGUCUGACUCUUUGUGACCCCAUGGACCAUAGUCUACCAGGCUUCUCUGUCCAUGUAACUCUUCAGGCAAGAAUACUGGAGUGGGCUGCCAUUCCCUUCUCCAGGGCAUCUUCCCAUCCAAAGGACUGAGCCUGGGUCUCCUGCAUUGUAGGUGGAUUCUUUACCAUCUGAGCCACCAGGGAAGCCCUAGUGGUUCAAAGUCUGUUUCUAAUUUGACACUUUCUGUCUGUCAAGAUCUGUGCUAGACACAGGUUACAAAAUGAAACACACACACACACACACGCACACACGAGUAUGGCAUGAUCCCUUUUGUUGAAGAGCCAAGUCUAGUAGGAAAGAUAUCACACAAGUAGUGUUUGGUGGAAAAUUCAAGUCAGGUUUUGCCUUUAGGAAGUCAUUGUGACAAUGCCUGGAUUUACAUGAAAAACACACAGCUUCCAUCCUGUCACAAUCUUUUCAUUUCAAUAUGGUAUUUUCAUUGGCUUCCCAUUACCCAGAGACUGAAGUUUAGACUUCUUGGGUCCUUUGCCAGGCCUUAUGCUAAAGAUUCCCAGUAGGUGUGUCAGAUUUGCUGAGAUGAGGCUAUAGACUGAACUGUUCAACCCAAUACCCAGUGAGAUGAUGUUUGGAGGUGGGGCCUCUAAGAAGUGAUUAGCUCAUCAGGUUGGAGUCCUCUUGAGUGGGAUUAGUGUCCUUAUAAAAGAGACACUGGAGACAUGUUUUGUUCCUUUGGCCAUGUGAGGUUGUGGUGGGAAGAUUGCUGUUGAUGAAGAAGUGGGUCCUCACCGGACAGUGAAUCUACGGGAGCCAUGUUCUCAGACUUCCAGCCUCCAGAACUGGAAGGAAUAAGUUUCUGUUGUUUUUAGGCCUUUGGUAUUUUGUUAUUGUGGGGCUUCCCAGAUGGCUCAGUGGUAAGGAAUCUGCCUGCAAUGCAGGAGGCACGGGUUCGAUCUCUGGGUUGGGAAGAUCCCCUGGAGGAGGGCAUGGCAACACAGUCUGGUAUUUUUGCCUGAGAAAUUUCAUGGACAGAGGAGCCUAGUGGCUACAGUCUAUGGGGUCGAAAAGAGUCAAAUGACUUAGCAGGUAAAGAACAAUUUUAUUAUUGCAGCCUGAACAGACUAAGACAGAUGGUGACAGCCUUGUCCACUUACCUUGGUUUAUACUACAAAUGUGAUCAUUAUUCCACAUGUACCUCAACCUCAAAUGGUUUGUGAAGCCUUGUCCUUCACAACCUGUCCCUGACUUUCCUGCCAAAUUUCCUUCAGCUGUCUUUUCACGGACGGGAUCUGUUUCUUAUUUCUUGUCCAUUUGCCAUGUUUCCCAAGCUGCACACUGUUGCUCACAUGGUUCUUUCUGCCUGGAAGUCCCGCCUGAUCCUUUCCACCACUUCUGUGUAGCCUGCAAAUUUUUGAAACAAAUUACCCAUAAGUGACCUCUUUCAUAAAGGAUUCCCUGCGUUCAUUGUCCUUUGACCUGCAUUAGCAUUUUAUCUUUUUUAUGGCCUUUGACGUCU